rnacentral:lncRNA from 1 species
GCGGCGAUGGCGGCGCUCGGCGACGGUUCGGGGCGGCGGGGCCGGCGGCCAGAGGUCGGCGAAGGGUGGAGGCGGCCGAGGGGGUGGGUUCGAGUGAUCCUCCUUAGCACGGGUCCAUGAUGGUGGAGAGGAAAGUGGAAACAAGAGAGAGAGAGGAAGGAAAAAAGGCUGAGGUGGUGGUGGCUGGCCGGAGAUCAGUCGGCGGCGGUCAGGGGACAUGCGGCUAGGGCAGGGGAGCAGGGUGAAGGUGGCUAGGGGCGCAGGGAGAACUAAGGUUAGGGAUACAAAGUAUAAAGCCCUAGAAUACCUUAUAUACAUAAGGCAUUAAUCACGCGAAAGUCCCACCAAACUCGGUAUUUCAAUCCGAGUCCCUCACAGUACGACUAAAACGCAUGAACGCCCCUCCACAUGCGAUCUCACGCGAAACGGUACAUAAAAUAUCGCAACUUUUGCGAAAAUACCGUUUUGCCACUACCGACCUCUCCUCGAUCAACGCGCGAUCUCCGCAGAUCCGUCCGUCAGAUUCACGAACGGAUCACACCAGUGCGAUCAGCACGACAGAGACAACAAAGCUGCGAUUUCGUUUCGUCUCGAUCGACCACGGAUUCACGACAAAAUCCAACCUUUCGUUCCAAUCGAAAGAAACACACAAAAAUACAUAUAAAACAUGUAUUUUUGGAUUUUCUCGAAAUCCGUACAUCAAACUCAAAAUCCGUCAACGCC